UUGUAGGCUUGCACUCGCACUCGUUGUCACAAGCGCGCCAUAGAUACUUUAUCCGUCGCAGUUUGGCGAACCGUCAGUCUAGUGUCAGAUACGAAGUUAUACAGCUCAGUGUGCGGAAGAAAAUAUUCAUAUUCUCACUUAGUUGAUUAUUAUUAGAAAAUUUCAAAAUAAUAACUACUAUUUGAAUGCCAGCAGAGUUGAAUGAAAAAAAAAUAAUUAUCUAAUAAAAACAAACAAAAAUUACAACAAGCACUAGAACCAAAGGGUGAAAAUAUUUUGAAAGAAAAAACAAAAAAACCGGAAGUUAAAAAGUGAAAAACCAAGAUUAAAAAAUAGCACCACAAAAGUGUAAAAAUUUUUGCUAAACAUACAAAAAAUUACAUAGUUAUUAGCAUAGCAAAAAAAAAACCUUAAAAUAUAAAAUAUUUUCUGUGUUUGCUGUUUACACUAAAUAACUGUGUAGAAUAUACAAACAUACAUACACACAUACUACAGUGUUAAACCAAAGUUGUCAGCAAAGAAGAAUUACCCAAUUUCGAAUUUCAAUUAAGUAAAAACAAAAAUAAUUAGGAUUACUCAUUCAGAAUCAUCUAAGAAGUAAGCAUAACACAAGAACCAUAUACAUACUUAUACAUACAAUAUACCAAAAAACAAGCCAAGCUUAAACAAAUAUAUUUUGUGCAUAUUGUGAUAAAACUGGAAUGAAAAAGUGAAACAAAUCGCUCGUAUAAAAAAAAAUCUGCUAAAAAACUGUUUUAACUUCGAAAUAUUGCUGAUGUGCGAAAAAGGAAAAGUUAUAUAAAGUGAAAAAGGAAAAAAACGUUAUUACAUUAAAAACCAUUAAAAAUAUUCAAUUUCAAAUUUUUACAAGGUAAUUAGUGGCACGCCAUUGGUUUAAGUGAA